rnacentral:rRNA from 1 species
GAAUGUUACUCAGCGCAUCACAUGGAUGCCUCGACUCUGCAUUCCGAUGAAGGACGUGGCCAGCUGCGUUAAGCUACGGUCAGCCGCUAGGCAGGCGCUAACAGCCGUAGAUCUCCGAAUGGGGAAACCCCUUGAGAGUCAUGUCUCAAGACCGUACGUUGUCAUGAUGUACGGAGGUAUACUCAGGGAACUGAAACAUCUCAGUACCUGGGGAAAAGAAAUCAUAUGAGAUCCCCUCAGUAGUGGCGAGCGAACAGGGAACAGCCUAAACCGUGUACUUGUACACGGUGUUGCAGGACCCCGAUAUCUGAUUGUGUGUUUGUAGCGGAACGACUCUGGAAAGAGCGGCAAAACAGGGUGAUAGCCCCGUACGCGAAACAACCAUGCACGGUAGGGAGUUCCUAAGUACGGUCGGACACGUGAAAUCCGGCCUGAAUCCGGGUGGACCACCAUCCAAGGCUAAACAGAUGCAGAGAUCAAUAGCGGAUAGUACCGUGAGGGAAAGGUGAAAAGCACCCCGAAAGGGGGAUGAAAUAGUCUCUGAAAUUUGAUACGGACAAGGAGUCGGAGCACCUUCGGGUGUCACGGCGUUCCUUUUGCAUAAUGAGCCAACGACUUUGUUCUCAGUGGCAAGGCUAAGGCAGAUUCAGCCGGAGCCGUAGCGAAAGCGAGUCCGAAUAGGGCGCUUUAGUCGCUGGGACAAGACCCGAAACCGGGUGAGCUAUCCAUGAGCAGGAUGAAAUCCCGCGAAAGCGGGAUGGAGGUCCGAACCAUAACGUAUCGCAAGACGUUGGGAUGACUUGUGGAUGGGAGUGAAAAGCUUACCGAACCCGGAGAUAGCUGGUUCUCCUCGAAAUGCCUUUAGGGGCAGCCUCGUAGUGCACGAUGGGGGGUAGAGAUACUGUUUGGAUGCGGGGGUCACUUCGACCUACCAAAUCCUGACAAACUCCGAAUACCCGCAGUUAGAGAGACGGGAGUGAGACGGUGACAGCGAACUGCCAUCGUCGAAAGGGAAAGAGCCCACAUCAUUUGCUAAGGUCCCCAAGAAAUAUUCAGUGGUAAAGGAAGUGUAGGUGCGUAGACAACCAGGAGGUUGGCUUAGAAGCAGCCAUCCUUCAAAGAAAGCGUAACAGCUCACUGGUCGAUGCACUUAUGCGCCGAAAACUCAACGGGGCUAAAUAUUUCACCGAAGCAGUGAAUGUUCCUAGGACUACGGUUCUAGGGAUGUGGUAGAGGAGCGUUCCGUUCAGCUGUGAAGCAGUAUCGUGAGGUAUUGUGGAGCGUACGGAAGCGAGAAUGUUGGCAUGAGUAACUACUAGGCAGGUGAAAACCCUGCCCGCCGAAUCCCCAAGGUUUCCCACGCAACGGCAAUCGGCGUGGGGUUAGUCGGUCCUAAGGCCAGGCCGAAAGGCGUAACCGAUGGACAUCAGGUUAAUAUUCCUGAACUUCUUAUGAAUCGCCCAAGGGUGGUAGUUGAUAGUUCUGUUGGCCUCUGUUCUCACCAUUCUGGAUUUUGAGAAGCUUGUAGGUAGUAGCUUGUAGCUUGUAGGAUUUUUCCUACUCCCUACCAGCUACAAGCUACCAGCUUUUACGAAACUAGAACGGUGAGAAUACGUCUAUAGAAAAGGAUAUUUCCAACCUAGGAGCGGUGUGACGGAGUGGGAAGAUCGGAGCGUACGUAUUGACUGUACGUGUAAGACGUAAAGCGUUGAGACCGGGAGGCAAAUCCCCUGGUUGAGUUGAGCGUCCACACCAAACGCCCCGCGCAAGCGGGGAGAGUCCGUACCUUUCUGCUUCCAAGAAAACCAUCGCUCACAGAGUCAUAAGAAACCGUACCGCAGACCAACACCGGUGGGGUGGUCGAGUAGACCUAGGUGAACGGGAAAACUCGCGUUAAGGAACUCGGCAAUGAAGCGUCCGUAACUUCGGGAUAAGGACUCCCUAUACUUAUUGGUAUAGGGCGCAGCGAAAGAGGCCAGGCGACUGUUUAUCAAAAACACAGGUCCCUGCUAAGCCGUAAGGCAAUGUAUAGGGGCUGAUGCCUGCCCAGUGUCAGAAGGUCACGUGAGAGGGUGUAUGCCUUCGAUCUAAGCCCUGAUGAACGGCGGCCGUAACUAUAACGGUCCUAAGGUAGCGAAAUUCCUUGUCGGGUGGUCGUACUAACAACUUGCCCGAAUCAUGAGCAAUCAUGAACACUGAGGAAUAAUCGUUAAUGUUUUGAUAGAUGUCUCACUUCGACAGGAGUGAUAUUCCGUAACGAAAGCUAUGGAAUGGUCUCACAAAAAUUCGCAAAUUUAUUACUGCCCGCGCGUGGUAAUAAGAGAAGCCAGUUCAACACACUAUGUAUUCUCUCUCCUGAAUGUAUUGAUGGAAGAGAAUACCGAGAUAUCAGACAGUUGUGGAAAUACCAUUAUCAGUGAAAAACGUCGCUAUAUGCUGGAAUAUCCGAGAAUGGCGGAGUACAGGAUACUUGACAUUUGUCUC